AGUGAACGCUGGCGGUAGGCCUAACACAUGCAAGUCGAACGGCAGCACAGUAAGAGCUUGCUCUUACGGGUGGCGAGUGGCGGACGGGUGAGGAAUACAUCGGAAUCUACUUUUUCGUGGGGGAUAACGUAGGGAAACUUACGCUAAUACCGCAUACGACCUACGGGUGAAAGCAGGGGAUCUUCGGACCUUGCGCGAUUGAAUGAGCCGAUGUCGGAUUAGCUAGUUGGCGGGGUAAAGGCCCACCAAGGCGACGAUCCGUAGCUGGUCUGAGAGGAUGGUGAGGCCACCUGGAACUGGAGACCGGUCCAAACUCCUACGGGAGGGCGCAGUGGGGAAUAUUGGACAAAGGGGGCAAACCUGAUCCAGCCAUACCGCGUGGGUGAAAAAGGCCUUCGGGUUGUAAAGCCCUUUUGUUGGGAAAGAAAAGCAGCAGGUUAAUACCCCGCUGUUCUGACGGUACCCAAAGAAUAAGCACCGGCUAACUUCGUG
rnacentral:rRNA from 1 species